GACGAACGCUAGCGGCAGGCUUAACACAUGCAAGUCGAGGGAGAAGAUGGUCUUCGGACUAUUGGAAACCGGCGCACGGGUGCGUAACGCGUAUACAACUUACCCUUGAGAGUGGGAUAGCCCAGGGAAACUUGGAUUAAUACCACAUGGUUUUACUGAAUCGCAUGGUUUAGUAAAUAAAUGAAUUUCGCUCAAGGAUGGGUAUGCGUCUGAUUAGUUUGUUGGUGAGGUAACGGCUCACCAAGACUACGAUCAGUAGCUGGUCUGAGAGGAUGAUCAGCCACACGGGAACUGAGACACGGUCCCGACUCCUACGGGAGGCAGCAGUGAGGAAUAUUGGACAAUGGGGGCAACCCUGAUCCAGCCAUGCCGCGUGGAGGAAGACGGCCCUUGGGUUGUAAACUCCUUUUAUAUGAGACUAAUAAGGUGGUAUACUCACCGAUGCAGGUACCAUAUGAAUAAGCACCGGCUAACUACG
rnacentral:rRNA from 1 species